rnacentral:sRNA from 1 species
AGAUUAUAGCCCAGCGUACGAGAAGCACGAGUCCUAUAGUUGGCGUACCCUGAGGCCUGCCAGUUCCUGCCUUAAUGCAUAUGUAGUCGUAAUUGAGUUCUGACACGGCCUUGGAUGUUUCUGUCCUAAAUAGCUGACAUUGCAUCUUCAAGACUGUCAUUCCAGUUGGCUUUUGAGUGGAUACUUGCAGUGAGAGCAUUGACACUGGAAACACUAGUUCCCAUUUUAAUUACUUAAAACACCACGAUGAAAAGAAAUACCUGUGAUUUGCUUUCUCGGAGCAAAAGUGCCUCUGAGGAAACACUACAUUCCAGUAAUGAAGAGGAAGACCCUUUCCGUGGAAUGGAACCCUAUCUUGUCCGGAGACUUUCAUGUCGCAAUAUUCAGCUUCCCCCUCUCGCCUUCAGACAGUUGGAACAAGCUGACUUGAAAAGUGAAUCAGAGAACAUUCAACGACCAACCAGCCUCCCCCUGAAGAUUCUGCCGCUGAUUGCUAUCACUUCUGCAGAAUCCAGUGGGUGAGUGCCCUCAGAUGUCAUUUCCCCAUUUUAUAUUUUAGAUGGUGAUUGUUGUCUGUGGUCUUUUGAGUUUUUGUGGCUCAUUGCUUGAUUUGAGUGGGAGAACAAUGGGGUUUCUAGAGUCAAAAAAAAAAGGAUGAAUUUCUCAGGUGACAUUUCUAUAUCUGCAGGAGAAGACAUUUUAGUGAAAUUGUUUUACAAGGAAAAGCUGAAAAUGUAUUGAUGAAUGCUAAUAAACAUUUGCAAAAGGGCAGUCGUACUUGGAAAAUUAAUAUUGGCCAUAUGUGACUUGAUAGAAAACAUUUUAACAAAUGAGAACUAAUGGACAA